GAUGAAGAACGUAGCGAAAUGCGAUAAGUAAUGUGAAUUGCAGAAUUCAGUGAAUCAUCGAAUCUUUGAACGCAUCUUGCGCUCCUUGGUAUUCUGAGGAGCAUGCCUGUUUGAGUGUCAUUAAAUUCUCAACUACACUGACUUUGAAUUGGUGUGGCUUGGAUUUGGGGGGAAAAUUGUUGUGGGCUUUUUGUAUAGUCUGCUCCCCUGAAAUUGAUUAGCGGUACCUUUGUGGAACUGUCUACAGGUGUGAUAAUUAUCUACAUCUUAGACAUCUGCUGGAAUGCUGCUUUCUAAACCUUAAUUGUAUUGACAAUCUUGACCUCAAAUCAGGUAGGACUACCCGCUGAACUUAAGCAUAUCAAUAAGCGGAGGA
rnacentral:misc_RNA from 1 species